AUGGUGGGUCCCAUGGCAUAAAAAAUAUAUUUUCUUUAAUUUAAUAACUUAUAUAUAUACUCUCAGCAUAAUACCAUCACACAAUUAAACACAUAACCAUGUAUAAGCAUUAAGCAAUAAUGCAUGAAAUGCAAUGAACUCUAAAUAAAAUUCCAAGCGAGUCCCACCUCGGACCUGCCGGUCAAAAAAAAAAACGAAAAAUUGACAAAAUGACAACCAAUUCAUUUCCAAAAGUCCUGAACUCAAGUAAGUGUCCAACUAACUCUCAAACACACCCGGCGUACUCCACGGUAUCCGGCACGCAAAAUGAGACUAAACGAAAAUAACCACAAAAAAUUGAAAAAAUACUAGAAAAUAAAAAAUGAAAAAAAUCAAGAUCAUUAUAAUUAUAAUUUUAUAAUAAAAUUAUUAUUAUAUUGUAUUACAAUGGUAUGAUGAGAUACAUAGUUACAUUUAUUAUAUAUGAAAAAAAAUAAAAAAUUUAAGUUACGGCAAGUCUUGGUUGGCUUGGGCCUCAUAGGGGAUGGAAAAAAUAAAUAAAUAAUUUAAGGCCCAUAGGGGAUGGGAAAAAUAAAAUAAAAAAUAUAAGUUAGGGCAAGUUUUUCGGACGACACAAUCUACUUCGAGACUCCGCAGGGCCUCCGUAUCGCUUCAGGCUCAGGUGACAUCGUAACAAGAAACUCAGAACUAAACCAUUUUCGGUCACCGGAGAAGAAUUCUUUCAACCUGAAAAGAGAUGAUGAUAAUAACUCUAAAUUAGGCUCCACGACCGGUCUAAAUCGUAAGAGAGUCUGAAUCACAGCAAUUUCUUGUGCAGAAACUAGGGUUUGUGUUGUGUUUGUUUGCUGAUCGUCAUCAAUUUUACUAUGGAUCUUGAUAAAGAACCAAAACCUAAUCUUGAAGAUUACCAAAUAGACUGUUCAUAUAUAAAGAUGAGAGAACAGGCUAAGACUUGGUCGGUAAAGCUAAGGAUAAAGAAUCAAUACUAGAAGGUUACAGAUCUGGUGUGAGGAGCUAUUAUUUUGAAUUUGAAUGCAAAGAAGCCUGGGUGGAAAAACUAUGGAAGGGAGUAAUAGUAAAACGUGGACGAAAGAAAGAAGAUGCUCGAUUUUGGUGUUUGCGCAGAAAAUGGAGAUAUCAGAGAGUAGCCAUUGAUUCAAUAAUGAUGCUGAAGGAAUUCAAAACUCCAUAUCUGUUGAGACGGACAGAUGUUGAUUCCUAUUUUGUUGAGUGGUUGAAGCCUAGAAACACAUCCUGAGAGUCAGCCUUUUUUUGUAAACACAUCCGAUGACUAUGAAUUCAAGGAGUACUAGAUUGAAUCGAUGAG